rnacentral:rRNA from 1 species
CAGCAGCCACGGGAAUACGAAGGGUGCAAGCGUUAAUCGGAAUUACUGGGCGUAAAGCGCGCGUAGGUGGUUUGGUAAGAUGGAUGUGAAAUCCCCGGGCUCAACCUGGGAACUGCAUCCAUAACUGCCUGACUAGAGUACGGUAGAGGGUGGUGGAAUUUCCUGUGUAGCGGUGAAAUGCGUAGAUAUAGGAAGGAACACCAGUGGCGAAGGCGACCACCUGGACUGAUACUGACACUGAGGUGCGAAAGCGUGGGGAGCAAACAGGAUUAGAUACCCCCGUAGUCCUGUCUCUUAUACC